rnacentral:lncRNA from 1 species
GUUCUGAACUCAAAAUACAGUUCCUAAAGUUAUUGUAAAAAAAGUAGCACGAUAUUUAUUAUUUUUUAAACAAUUUGAAAGAGUCCUACAGAAAUAUCAGUGUGCUUCAUGUAGUCCUUUUGUAUUUGUGAUCCACUCACAUUCUGUAGUGAGAUUUGACCUCUGAACUCUAGCCAAUAAAACUCUAACUUACGAUGCCCCCUUCCCUGUAGCUAUCCAGUGGGGGCUCUGCUGACCCCACCCCCAAAGGUGCUGAGGCUGUGUGCCAGACUGUAGCACACCAAGGUCUCCACCACUGCGACCAGACAGAGCUUGCUGAUACCUGCGGAGUUUCUUGCCCUUCUCUUCCUAUUUCACAGUAUCAAUUAUACAAUUGGAACCAAAUUAUACAAUUUGAACUCCAGUUGCACAAGAAAUGAUACCAAGAAUGAACAAAUGGGAUUAUACCAAAUUAAAAAAACAAACACAUGGAUCUGCAUUGCAAAGGAGACAGCCAACAGAAUGAAGAGACAGCAUACAGAACAGGAGAAAAUUUUUGCCAGCUAAUUAUUAAACAGAGGUCUAGCCGCCAGGUGUGGUGACGCAUGCCUAUAAUCCCAGCACUCGAGAGGCUGAGGCAGGAGGAUCGCUCUUGAGUUCAAGACCAGCAUGGGCUGCAUAGUGAGUUCCAGGUCAGUCUCAAGUACAUAGUGAGAGCCUGUCUCAAGAAAAAACAAAACCAAAACAAAACAAAAACAGAGGUCUAAUAUCUAGAAUAUAUAAAGAACUAAAAAAUCUAGAUCCCCCCAAAUAAAAGUCUCAGUAAAAAAAAAUGGGUAACAAAUAAACAGAUAUUUCUCAGAAGAAAAAAUAUAAAUGGCC